UUACGACCACAUCAUUUUGAAACACCAGUGCCCGUUUGAUCACCGAAGUUAAGCAACGUCGAACCUGGUCAGUACUUGGUUUGGUGACCGUUUGG